UACAGGGGGGGCAAGCGUUGUUCGGAAUUACUGGGCGUAAAGGGCUCGUAGGCGGCCAACUAAGUCACACGUGAAAUCCCCAGGCUUAACCUGGGAACUGCGUGUGAUACUGGAUGGCUUGAAUCCGGGAGAGGGAUGCGGAAUUCCGAGUGUAGAGGUGAAAUUCGUAGAUAUUCGGAAGAACACCAGUGGCGAAGGCGGCUCACUGGACUGGUAUUGACGCUGAGGUGCGAAAGCGUGGGGAGCAAACAGG
rnacentral:rRNA from 1 species